CAUACUUCUUUAUGUGCCCAUA
rnacentral:miRNA from 1 species